CAAUUUUCCUCCUCAAGUUUGUUUAUUCCAUGCAGGUGCUCUGCCUUGAUUUUACACGUCACUCCUGUCGCACUGUGCACAGGCUAUUACAGGACAUCGUCAGGAUUGGUUGAUCAUAACACCAUUCAAGAUAAGGAAGGAAAAGGGCCGAGACACGAGUAAGAAACAAACUGGAGGAGGAAAAUGAGUUCAGAGCUUAAGAUAUUCUGCACAAAAAUAGUUCAUUUUUAAAUACCUGUAUAUGUAGUAGUUAACAAAGCAAUUAAAAAUGGUUAACGUGAAUAAGGACAGAGAAGAUGGCAGGAGAAACGAACGGUUGAUGUGAUACAGAACUGCAUGACACUGGAAUUAUCUUUACAACCAGAACAUGUUUGUGUCAUUUUAUAACAAAGAUUAAAUGUGAGGCAAUAAUCUCUCUUAUGGUAAAGUGUUACCGAUAUUAUUAAUGUCCAGAUAUGUUUUCCACAGAAAAAGAAAAUAAGGAAGCAUGUUUCUGCCACGCGAAAUAUUCAGACUUUUUACCUCACAAUCCCCCGCAAUUCUGAUUCUUUCUCUGAUUACGCGAUGUAAACAUAUUAUUAUGACAUAUAAACUCAGAAUUGAGAAAAAAGUCUGAAUUGUGAGAUAUAAAGUCAGAAUUGUG